GAUGAACGCUGGCGGCGUGCCUAAUACAUGCAAGUCGAGCGAACAGACGAGGAGCUUGCUCCUCUGACGUUAGCGGCGGACGGGUGAGUAACACGUGGAUAACCUACCUAUAAGACUGGGAUAACUUCGGGAAACCGGAGCUAAUACCGGAUAAUAUAUUGAACCGCAUGGUUCAAUAGUGAAAGACGGUUUUGCUGUCACUUAUAGAUGGAUCCGCGCCGCAUUAGCUAGUUGGUAAGGUAACGGCUUACCAAGGCGACGAUGCGUAGCCGACCUGAGAGGAUGAUCGGCCACACUGGAACUGAGACACGGUCCAGACUCCUACGGGAGGCAGCAGUAGGGAAUCUUCCGCAAUGGGCGAAAGCCUGACGGAGCAACGCCGCGUGAGUGAUGAAGGUCUUCGGAUCGUAAAGCUCUGUUAUUAGGGAAGAACAAAUGUGUAAGUAACUAUGCACGUCUUGACGGUACCUAAUCAGAAAGCCCCGGCUAACUACGUG
rnacentral:rRNA from 1 species